UGCUUAACACAUGCAAGUCGAACGGUAAGGCCCUUCGGGGUACACGAGUGGCGAACGGGUGAGUAACACGUGGGUAAUCUGCCCUGCACAUCGGGAUAAGCCUGGGAAACUGGGUCUAAUACCGAAUAGGACCACAGGACACAUGUCCUGUGGUGGAAAGCUUUUGCGGUGUGGGAUGGGCCCGCGGCCUAUCAGCUUGUUGGUGGGGUGAUGGCCUACCAAGGCGACGACGGGUAGCCGGCCUGAGAGGGUGUCCGGCCACACUGGGACUGAGAUACGGCCCAGACUCCUACGGGAGGCAGCAGUGGGGAAUAUUGCACAAGGGGCGAAAGCCUGAUGCAGCGACGCCGCGUGGGGGAUGACGGCCUUCGGGUUGUAAACCUC
rnacentral:rRNA from 1 species